rnacentral:rRNA from 1 species
GACGGAGGAUGCAAGUGUUAUCCGGAAUCACUGGGCGUAAAGCGUCUGUAGGUGGUUUAAAAAGUCCACUGUUAAAGGUUGAAGCUUAACUUCAAAAAUGCCGUGGAAACUUUUAAACUUGAGUAUGAUAGGGGUAGAGGGAAUUUCCAGUGGAGCGGUGGAAAUGCGUAGAUAUUGGAAAGACCACCGAUGGCGAAGGCACUCAUACUGGGCCAUUACUG